AGCGAACGCUGGCGGCAGGCUUAACACAUGCAAGUCGAGCUGGCACUUCGGUGUCAGCGGCAGACGGGUGAGUAACACGUGGGAACGUACCCUUCGGUUCGGAAUAACGCUGGGAAACUAGCGCUAAUACCGGAUACGCCCUUUUGGGGAAAGGUUUACUGCCGAAGGAUCGGCCCGCGUCUGAUUAGCUAGUUGGUGGGGUAAUGGCCUACCAAGGCGACGAUCAGUAGCUGGUCUGAGAGGAUGAUCAGCCACACUGGGACUGAGACACGGCCCAGACUCCUACGGGAGGCAGCAGUGGGGAAUAUUGGACAAUGGGCGCAAGCCUGAUCCAGCCAUGCCGCGUGAGUGAUGAAGGCCUUAGGGUUGUAAAGCUCUUUUGUCCGGGACGAUAAUGACGGUACCGGAAGAAUAAGCCCCGGCUAACUUCGUG
rnacentral:rRNA from 1 species